AGGAGGAGCAGGAACAGGAGGUUCCAGUGCCCCCUGUGGCCGCGGAACCAUCACCCCUUCCUCGUCCUGCAGAGUUGCCGCCGGAGCUGCCCGCAGCAAGAUGCUGACAGGGAUUAGGAACUCCGUGUUGGCUUCGUCUUCCUGGCGCUCGGCUUCCACCUGUGCAAGAAGAGCUCCUGAGCCGCCGGCGGCCGCAGCCCCUCCCCGUGGGCUCCAUCCCAGCCGGGACCCCCGCUCCGUCCCUGCUCUGCUGAUUAUAGGGGUGGGUUUGUGUCCCCCCCCAACUCCGCUUUGACUCACAAGAGAACUUGCUAACACUUUAUAUGAAGUUCAGAGUUAUAUACUAGCACAGUACAGAAUAUGGAAAAUAUGAAAGUUAAAACUU